rnacentral:rRNA from 1 species
GAUGAACGCUGGCGGCGUGCCUAAUACAUGCAAGUCGAGCGAACAGACGAUGAGCGUGCUCCUCGGACGUUAGCGGCGGACGGGUGAGUAACACGUGGAUAACCUCCCUAGAGUAAUGGGAUAACUUCGGGAGACUGGAGUUAAGACAGGAUUAUUUAUAGAGCAGGACGUUUCAAUAGUACAAGAUGGUGUUGUUGUAGAUUUUAUAUCUAUACGAUUCGCAUUAGCUAGUUGGUAAGGUAGCGGCGUACAAAGGCAACGAUGCGUAGCCGACAUGAGAGGGUGAUCGGCCACCCUGGCACUGAGACUCGGUCCCGACUCCUACAGUAGGCCACAGUAGGGACUCUUCCGCGAUGGGCGAAAGCGUGAUAGAGCACCGCCGCGUGAAUGAUGAAGCUGUUAGGACCCUAAAACUAUGUUAGUAGGGAAAAACUAAUCUGUAAGUAACUAUGAACGUCUUGAAGGUACCUAAAUAGAUAGCCACGGCUAACUACCUG